UCCUUGUUCCUCUGCUCUUUCUAGGAGAGUCUAGUGGGGACUAAAGUGAAACCAUAUUGGAGGGAAAAAUUUAACCUUGGAUUCACCAGGCUGCUGGAAGGAUUAGUUCCUUCCUACCAUGUUGUUGCUUCCUUCCACUAAAGUGUCUUUGACUUCAGUCUUGAAGAGAGUUUUACCCUCCCAUGUCACAGAAUCCUAAUGCUGCCACCCUAGGUUUAUAGGAGCAUCAUGACCUGACCAAGGAUAAAGAAGUUCCCAACCUCCUCAGACCCUCGCUGGCACCCAGAUGUCUGCAGUUGCCUGCUGGUCACCCCUUGAUCCCGAAACCCCUCCUCUUCCACCUCCUCUCAACAUAAAAAGUGCCUAAAAUUUGUACCAACUUAAGACGGCACUCAAGGAUGCUAGUUCACUUUCCUCUCUGUUUACUGGCUCUCUGAAUAAACCUACUUUUCCUCCCA